ensembl:lncRNA
AAAUCCCGCCCUGAAAACCCCAAGCUAAAAAAAAAUGAUCUAUUCUUGCAGAUUUUUCUAUGUUUGAUUAAUCUGCUUUGAGGCCGGAUUCAUAACAAGCAGCUCUUUAAAAACUGUAUGGUCUUUGAAAAACAGUCUGAAACCUCUCCAUAUCCUCAGCCUUUUGGGAGUUUCAAGCCAGUGUGCGGCCUCCGCUGGAGACAGCUUUUCCAUCUCCCAGGAUUCCUGGGGACACAAGGACGGCGGGUCCUCACCUGGAGCAGUGAAUGUGCAGUCACUUAUCUGGGAUUACAACCUGAGUCAACAGCGGAACCAGGAAGUGAACUCAGGGCCGGGCAUCAUAUGGAAAGUUGAGUGUAUUUACUUUUCUCUUAAAGCAAACUUUGAUUUACUCUUUAAUAAGUUACCACUAAGGAUUUAGUUGUGGAGAAAUUUGACUUGGCAUUCAAACUCAAGUCACAUAUUGAUAAAGAAGGAGAGGGAACAGUGGGUCUUUUGCGUUUUUCCAGCUUUAUCAUUAACCCCAAGUUUAAACAUGUUUGCUUUUAGAAGCGUUUUCAAGAAGGUGAUAAUUCUCUAUUGAUGAGAUAUUUUGACAUCCUUAGCUGAACGGUGUUAUAACUGGGGUAGCCCAUGGCACUGUUGAAACCCUGGAGGGGCCGUGUGACCAAAUACAGUGCCUUUGACUUCCGACAAGUUUAAGUCUCGGCUCUGUCACUUACGUGCCACCUGGGAAAUCUCUUCACCUCUUUGGGCUCAAUUUCCUCAUCAGUAAAAUGGGGGUAAAAGUUACCUUCCUCAGAAGGUCAUUAUAAGAGUCAACAAGGAGAUAUAUGUGAGGGGCAAGAUGGGAGAGUGGAAUGCAGUGGAUGCUUAGUAGACAAACUGUUAGCGUUAUGUAUUACUUAGGUCAUGUUUAUUGUGGGGAAUAAAACUUCUGUUUUCUCUUUCCAGAAGUUUCUCCAGGAAGUCACCUGGAGGUAAAAAAUUUGAUUUCACCCUCUGUGCUUUUCCUAGUCGUUUCCACAUGAGUGGAUGGAGCCGGCCUUCAAGGACUAGAGUGAAAGAAUGUUCUUGGCUCACUGCGGAUAGGGGCGCUGGUCCUGGGAGUGGUCAGGGGUGAAGGUUCCCUUUCCUGCCUGCUGACAGCACUUCUGCGUUAAAUGCAGCAAUCUACAAAAAAUGGAAAGAAACACAAGAAGAGGAAGGAAGGCACCAAGGAGCCUUCUCAUAUGUCUCUGAUGAUCUUUUGGGAUGAGUUGUUUCUUUGCUUGCUCAAAGGGCCCAAGAAGAACUUCUAAGGAGAAGGAGAGCGCCCUUUUGUGGAGUUCUAAUAGGCCUCUCUCCCAUUUGCUCCCAUAGUGGAGACGAGAGCAAGGGCGCAGAUCACCUUUUGUGAUAAGAACACAAGGAGCAAAAGCAGAAGUGAAGGGGUCAUCCAGGAGAUGAGGGGUGCAGGGGUUGGUGUGCCUUGAGUGUCCGUGAGGGGUGCACUGCUUUCUAAACUUUUAAUCUCCAUGCACCAGGAAUUCUAAACAAUACCAGUGAUAGUAUCUUUCUUCCAUUGGGCCACUCCUGCUCCCUCUGGUAGGCACCAGGUGAGUGAGGUGGAAAGGAGGCAGCAUGGCCCCAAGUCAGAGGAACCCGAGACAGUCUCCUCCAAAUGAGAGUGGAGAGGCCAGGUGCUCAGGCAUCCUUGGGGGUCAAAAGAGUGACGAGAGAGGGAGAGAGAUGAGUGUCCACAGCGUGGUGAGAGGUGCCCAGCUGGAUGUACUUCUCUCCACCACCCAUCUACGAGGCAGGUCCUUGGAGUGGAGCCCACAAUGGCGCUGUGCUGGGCUGGGCUGGGCUGGGCUGGGCUGGGGGCGCCAUACUUUGGAGAGAAUCUGGUAGGCAGACCUUAGAGCAGAGCAGACAUGUCUGGAGGUUGAGGGUGUGACAAAGAGCUGCAACGUUCCUACAUGUAAAGACUCCCUCCCCUUCGGUCCUGACCUGAAGACGGCACUCUUCUGCCCUGCUCUGCUUCUGCCGUUUCUGGUGGAAAUGGCUCUAAAGAAUCACGCUUACCAGCAGGGUGAGUUCAUUUGACCAUCACGACCGCUGGUGAAAUGCGUGGAAUUAUGCCCAUUUAACGAUGAGGAAACAGGCUCAGAAAGGGGCAAGAGCCUCUCAGUGGCACCCGGUUGGGUAGCAAUGGGUCUGGGAAUUGUCCCCAGUUUGCCAACCAAACGGCUUCCUGCUCUCGAAGCCUGAGGAGGCCCCUGCAGAAGUGAUUGUUUCUUUCUGGAGCUUCACGCCAUGUGGAAGAUCAUUUGGGAGGAAUACAUGGAACUCCCCUUAAGCUCAGCAGGCCUGUGGAUCGCCCUUCAGCACAACUGCAAGGCGUCACCUUUAAGAGUCCUUGAAGGGCACAGUGCCAAACAGACAGCUCCUCAGCGAGGAUGCUGCUCCCAGAGGGGCCGGCUUUCCAUGUACGCUGAGAUCCCUACAGAGCGGCAGAGCUGAUUUUUAGAGAGCAGUCUGCUUUGAAAGUGGCCCUGGGGGCUCAUGUCAUUAUCGGAAUCCUGGGAUCCUCGCUCCGAGACAGGCCUGACUGUGGGGACCUGCUGGCUGAAGCGCCUCCUUCUUGCGAGGCCUUCCUUGGUAUGGAAAAUUUGAGAGACUCACCGCCCUCUCAGUGCAGGGCUUGCACAUCUCUCCCCACCACCUUUUCAAGCAUACGGGAAGCCACAGAAAAUGGGGGCAAUGUCUUAAGUGGAGGCCACUGGAUACAGCAGAAUCCGGAGUGAGGGAAGACCCCCCUGUUUUGAAUCUUCGCAGCCUGUCCACCAGGUCCCUUGACCCAUGGAGAGCCACCGUGCUCAGGGGACCCUGAGCAGUGGGCUAAUCAGAAGGACAGGCUAGCACGAGGCUUCACUUAGGGCUCAGGGCCAUGUCCAAGGGGAGGAAGCCAGGAGCCCGAGUGGUAGCCCUCAUAGGAUCAAAGUGCCAGAUGCAGUGCCCUCGUCCCCUGCCUCCCUCUGAGUGUAAACUUCACUGAAUUCGAGAGAGGUCUACCUUCUUGAAAGAAGACUUGGCCUGUCCAGGUUAUUUAUGUGUGUGUCCGCCUUUGUUGUGCAGAGCGGUGCACAUAAAAGCCUGGCUGGGCAGGGUAGGAGUGCCCAUCAGUGCCUCGCACAGGAAAUUGGAAAUUGGAAACCGAGGGUCUACCCCCACUCCGCCUCUGACUCAGGCUUAAACAAACCCAACACCCGCCCUGACCUUUGCUCCCUCCAUCUGUGGCAGACCUGACCUGCCAGCAGCCCUGCCAGGCCGAGGGCUCCCGAAAGUCCAGCAUUUGGUCAGCUUCCUGCGGGAGAGAAUCCUUUGGGUCCGACUGAAUGUAUGGCUGCAGCCCGUCAUUUUUUUUUUGUCUUCAACAAAGUGAAUUCUUAAAUUUUUUUCCCCCUCUUUAAAUUUUCAUUCAUUAUAUUCAUCAAUGCAGAGAGAUGGAACAUUUGGCAAAAUUAUUUUAAGUAGCACUCCAACCUGUGAUCAUAAUUUCAAAUCAAGGAAUUUGCUGAGCAGCUGUGGGCAGAACAAAGGACCUGGGAGUGAUUUAGGAACCGGGGGGAGGGGAGGCUGCAUAGCCAGGACAGAAGCAGCUGGGGAAGCAGGUUGUCUGCCGGCUAGGCCCUGCCUUCGGUCUACACGGGGCGACAGUGCCGUUUCCAUCUGCUGAACACACCACGCACAGCACUUAAAAAUGGAUACACGGAGCAGAGGACUGAGAUUCAAUUUAACAUGAUGGCUGAGAGCUUCAGCUCAGGAGUGGGACGGACCUGGCCUUGAAUCCUCGUUCUGCCACUCAUCCGCCUUGGUUGAGUCAUCUAUAAAAUGGGAACAAUCGCAGCAACCACAUCUUAGGGACUAUUAUGAUAUGUAUACGUCAUAUAUUUGUCUGGCCUAGUUACUAGCACAUAGUAAGUGUUCAAAAUGCUAUUAUUAUUGCCAAUAUGCAGAAAUGGACAAUUUCUGUCUUUGCAAUCGAUUCAUUCACCAAACAUCUAUCCAGCACCCCUUGUGCUCUAGGUACAUGCCAGGAGUUGUAGGGGUGAUCUAGUCCAGCCUUUCAUCUUUUUAACAGAAUUUCUGAUGGAUGAUAGUUGAGCUUCUGCUCAAACUCUGCUAGGAACGGAGAGCUCACUACUUCAAAAGGACUCCUACCACACCAUGGCUUGCCAAGCGGUGCCACAUCCCCACCUGGGAUCUGAACCAGUGAACCCCGGGCCGCUGAAGUGGAACAUGCGCACUUAACUCCUGUCCACUGGGCCAGCCCCUAGUCAUCUUUGUAUGCACACCUGCCUUCAACAUUUGUCCAGUCAAGUAAGUUCCCCAUGCAUAGACACAAAAGAUGAAAGAACACUGCCAAACGAACUUUUAGCAGUUGAAAUGGUCCAGGAUCGGGUGACAAAAUAUUACUUGAUGAAGUCUUUCCCCUGGAGUGACUGACUGAGAACAUCAUAUUUCCUUUUGGUCCACAGAAAUAUAUCAUUCACCCAUCAACUUUUGAAUUUGAGAAAAUUCAUUGAGGAUAUUGUUAUCUGAAGGCUUAUGGUCUGAGAUUUCACUUAUAUGAUCAAUUUCGUCUUUGUUAUUAGAGUCUAGACCUCUGCUGUCUCUGCCUUCAUUUCUGAUUCAUCUAAGAACUGUGACACAUCUUUCUUUAUUUUUUCUCCCUGCCAUUACAGACAGAAAGGAAAAAAUUCUAAAUUUUCAACUGUGUUCAAUGCAAGCUACAAAAAUGGUGUCUCUAUUCUUCUUUUAUAUCUCCUUAAAGAUGAUGCCACAUCAUGCCAUACUUUCCCCAAUGCAACAGGAAUACAGAGAAUGAUGCAACUGUGAUAAUUUCACUAUUGUAUCAUCCUUCUAAUCUAGGUCAUUCCAGCACCCUUCUUCUUCUUCUUCUCCUUCUUCAAUUCUUCUUCUAAUUCUAAUUCUUCUUCUUCUUCUUCUUCUUCUUCUUCUUCUUCUUCUUCUUCUUCUUCUUCUUCUUCUUCUUCUUCUUCCCCUCGUCCUCCCCCCCCACCUUUUUUCUUAGUAUUAUUCAGAAUAAUUCAUGAGUAAUGAUGAAGUAGAAAACAUGUUUCAAGAUAUGGGAAAAAUAAGUACCCUAAGAUCCAUAAAUGUCACUUAGAUGUAUAAAAG